rnacentral:rRNA from 1 species
AUUGAACGCUGGCGGAAUGCUUUACACAUGCAAGUCGAACGGCAGCACGGACUUCGGUCUGGUGGCGAGUGGCGAACGGGUGAGUAAUGUAUCGGAACGUGCCCAGUCGUGGGGGAUAACGUAGUGAAAAUUACGCUAAUACCGCAUACGAUCUAUGGAUGAAAGCGGGGGAUCGCAAGACCUCGCGCGAUUGGAGCGGCCGAUAGCAGAUUAGGUAGUUGGUGGGGUAAAGGCCCACCAAGCCAACGAUCUGUAGCUGGUCUGAGAGGACGACCAGCCAAACUGGAACUGAGACACGGUCCAGACUCCUACGGGAGGCAGCAGUGGGGAAUUUUGGACACUGGGCGAAAGCCUGAUCCAGCCAUUCCGCGUGCAGGAUGAAGGCCCUCGGGUUGUAAACUGCUUUUGUACAGAACGAAAAGGUUUCUACUAAUACUAGGAGCUCAUGACGGUACUGUAAGAAUAAGCACCGGCUAACUACGUGCCAGCCGCCGCAGUAA